rnacentral:tRNA from 1 species
AGGUAGUUAGUCCAACAUAAGACCUCUGAUUUCGGCUCAGGAGAUUGCGGUUCAAGUCCGUGACUGCCUU